GUGAAUCAUCAAAUUUUUGAACGCAUAUUGCACUCUCUGGUAUUCCGGAGAGUAUGCCUGUUUGAGGGUAAUUAAAAAGAAUCUUUAACCAAUUUUUUUUGUUCAAAUGAAAUGAGCUCUCCUCGUUUAUAGCGGUAGAUUUAAAUAAAUGGUCAAAUGUCAUUUUAGUCGAUACCCGUACUAAUAUUAUUUCGCGAAAUCUUCAUUAUGUUACUAACAAAUUUUCAUGCAUACAAAUUAACUUAG
rnacentral:misc_RNA from 1 species